rnacentral:tRNA from 13 species
CUCCCCUAUGGGAAUCGAACCCGGUCUCCCCCGCGUGACAGGCGGGGAUACUCACCACUAUACUACCGAGGA